rnacentral:lncRNA from 1 species
AUAUAUAAAAAGGCAUAUUCCUGACUUGGUACUGGACAUUUUUAAAGGAAAAAAUGGUGGGUUGAACCUGGUUAUAAAAUGCAUUUCGUCCAGCACCAAAAUAUGAUAAAGUAUUUUAAUCCUCAUUUGGUGUAAAACAGCAGAUUAUGUGUUUUCCUAAUUUAAAACCCCUGCUUUAAUUUCUUAGGGUGCCAUGCUAUUGUUAGUUUUUCUUCGACUGAACCUAAUCGUCCCUCCACUAUCUUUAGCAUUCAGCUAUUUUUAAUGCAAGUAUUCAGUCUUUAAACACGAAAACCAGCCAUAACAAUAAGUAAAAGAGGUACGAAAGAUACAAGAGGAACAUUCAAACUCAUAAAUCGAAAAUAAACUGACAACGCCAUGGCUAAAAAUGAAAGAGACAAACAGACAAACAAUAGUACACAUAACACAACAUAGAAAACUAAAGAACAAACAACACGAACCCCACCGAAAACUAGGGGUGUAACUGCCAAUGAGAUAACUAUACAUCUUAGUUUAAAUGGAGUAUUGGUAAGUAAUUAUAGGCAACCAUAUGCAACUGCCUUCAUUUAUGAGAUAUACCUACAAAUAAGGAGAUGUGGUGUAAAAGAGGGACGAAAGAUACAAGAGGAACAUUCAAACUUAUAAAUCGAAAUUAAACUGAAAAAGAAAAAAAAACCCACCCAGACAGACACACAAUAGUACACACAACAGAACAUAGAAAACGAAAGACUAAACAACAUGAACCCCAUCCAAAAGUGGGG